AUAAUACUCCCUCCGUUCGAAAAUACUUGUCAUCAAAAUGAAUAAAAAGAGAUGUAUCUAGAAAAAAAUACGUCCAGAUACAUUCCUUUUUAUCUAUUUUGAUGACAAGUAUUUCUGUACUGAUGGAGUACUAA
rfam:Triticum aestivum genome assembly, contig: Triticum_aestivum_CS42_TGACv1_scaffold_621521_7DS